UUUGGGAAAUGCUGAGUUUUUUUAUUUUUUAAUACACACUGAGAAAAUGGCAGGUUUUGCUGAUCAAUCUGUUUUUUGCACGUCAGUCUGAUCCCCUA
rnacentral:snoRNA from 1 species